rnacentral:tRNA from 1 species
CUCUAGGUAGCCAAGUUGGUUUAAGGCGCAAGACUGUAAUGUUCCCUUAGGGAAAACAAGUAAUCUUGAGAUCGGGCGUUCGAAUCGCCCCCUGGAGA